rnacentral:rRNA from 1 species
UACGUAGGGUGCAAGCGUUGUCCGGAAUUAUUGGGCGUAAAGAGCUCGUAGGCGGUCUGUCGCGUCUGCUGUGAAAACUCAGGGCUUAACCCUGAGCUUGCAGUGGGUACGGGCAGACUAGAGUGCGGUAGGGGAGACUGGAAUUCCUGGGUGUAGCGGUGAAAUGCGCAGAUAUCGAAGGAGGAACCAGCCGGUAGGCGAAGGCGGUCU